AUGGCCGCACCCAUGGCAUAUGGAAGUUCCUGGACUAGGGACUGAAUCUGAGCCGCAGGUGCGGCAGAGCCAGAUCCUUUAACCCACUGUGCUGGGCCGGGGAUAGAAACCGAGCCUCUACAGUCAGAUUCUUAACCAACUGCACCACAGUAGGAACCCCAACAUUCGACAUUUGAUGGUGCAGAUACCUCCUUCUUCCUUCAGUGUAAAUAUUCUAAUACAAAUAUUUUUAUUAAUUGCCCCCCGCCAAAAAACAACAAAAAACCAAAAAGCACAAUAAAAAAAUUGGACCUUACCAAACCACCUGUAGGGCUUGCUUGCCCCUCUGGUACACUCUUCCACCCUGUGUCUUGCCUUGGUAAUGCCUGAUGGGUCACCCGAUAGGCUUCAACCUAGACAUCACACAUUUCUUCAGGAACCUUCCCUUCCACUAUGCUCCUGUCACCAGGGGUGUAGUACUAGGGGAAUCACACCUGAUAGCAAUUGCUCAUUUAUUUAGUACCCUCCAGCAUAUACAUUAAAUACAUCUGUAAGUACUUGCUGACUAUUCCACUAGGUAAUAGGCACCACCCAACCUGGGAAAGAUGAUUGGUGCCUUCCCCGUAGAGCCUAGUCCAAGCUUUUGUUUUGUUUGUCCUUUUAUAGCCACACCUAUGGCAUAUGGAAGUUCCCAGGUGCAGCCCUAAAAGGACAAAAGACCAAAAAUAAAUAAAUCAACUGCAGCUUGUGUUAAGCUUAAUCCACUGAGCAAGGCCAAGGGUUGAAUCUACAUCUUCACGGACACUUUGUGGGGUUCUUAACCCACUGAGCCACAAGAGGAACUCCUUGUUUUGUUUUUAAAUGGCUUUAUUGAGAUUUAGUCCAUGGACUAUGCAAUUCACCCAUUUAAGAUGUAAAAUUUGGGAGUUCCUGGGUGGCACAGUGGGUUAAGGAUUUUGCGAUGUCAUUGCUAUGGCUUGUAUUACCGCUGUGGCGCAGGUAAGAUCCCUGGCCCAGGAACUUCUGCAUACUGCAUGUAUAUGGCCAAAAAUAAAUAAAUAAAAUGUACAAUUUAGUGGCUUUUAGUAUAUUUACAAAGUUCAUCACCACAAUCAGUUUUAAAGUUUUCAUCAACCCCAAAAGAAACUUCGCACUCCUUAGGUAUCAUCGCUGGGGCCUCUGCAUCCCCUUCCCUUCCCCAUCACCCAGCCCCUGAGGUAACCACCAAUCUAGUGUAACCACAGAUCCUAUAGAUUUGCCUAUUCUGGAUAUUUCUUAUGUGAAUCAGGUUAGGUCUUCCCCAUCUUACCCAGUUCUGAGAUUCUUCUAAGAACUUCCCUGGAGAUUCAAAUUCAGAGAUCAGAGAAUCUGGUGGGUUCCCCCCCCCCCCCCCCNUUUUAGGGCCGCACCUGCAGCAUAUGGAAGUUCCCAGGCUAGGGGUUUGAAUCGGCGCCACAGCUGCUGGACCACAGCACAACCACAGCCACGUGAGAUCCGAGCCAUGUCUUCCACCUACACCACAGCUCACAGCAACUCCGAAUCCCCAACCCACUGAGUGAGGCCAGGGAUUGAACCUGCACCCUCAUGGAUCCUAGUCGGGUUCGUUAACCAAUGAGCUACAAAGGGAACUCUGGAAUCUGUAUUUUUAACAUGGGGUCUUCUCUAAAGAGUCAAUUCUCUAUUUAAUCAGACUGCAUCUGCCUUUACUGUCUCCAGCAACCAAGGCCAAAUGUAUAGUAGUUGUCAACAAAUAGCUUUUGAUGACUACCUCUAAAACUUAACACAAUCAAGCAUUUUGAGUAUGGCGAGUCCCCUUGUGGCUUGGCAGGUUGGGGACAAUAUAGGCAGGGAGGAGUGAGAUCAGACUAGUAGAGGAGGCAAAUUGAAUCCACAGAGGCCAAAGGUGGCAAUUAGAAAGGGGCUUGUGGAGUGGCUGAAGAGUUUGGGAUUUAUUACCUCUAGGGUACUGGAGAGUCAUCCAUGGGCUUGAAGCAGGGGAAUUAUGAGAUCACAUCUGGGCUGUGCAGUUGUGUAGGGGGAGGAGGCAGGAAGCAGUGAAGAGUCUAAAGAUGUGGUCAGAAGUGAUAGUGCCUGAGCCAGGUUGGAGGCAGUGGGGAUAGAGAGAUUAGAGUGAAGAGAUAUCCCAAAGGCAGAAUGGACAAUUUAGAGAUUGAUGGGAUGUGGGAGAUGAGAGAAUGAAG
rnacentral:lncRNA from 1 species